rnacentral:sRNA from 1 species
ACGGUUUCGGGAGAGCGACCCGAGGGCCGGCAGAACCCUGUUUCCCGCGAGAGCGAUCGUGGGAAACACUGUUCUGCGAUUUUGAAAUCCGAAAAGAAUCGGUGUGUUAUCCACAUUUCUCUGUGUAGGGACGAACUUGAUUUGGCAGGCACCGCAUCGCUCGGGAAGAGCAAGCUCUUCUCGCGGUUUCUGUAGUCC